rnacentral:lncRNA from 1 species
AGCCACGCGGUGGGACCUGGCUGGGAGGGGUCGCAGCGGUGUAACGCGUACAUCACGGUGUGGAGCUGGGGGCGCUGCCUCUGGGGUCAAAUGUCGGCCUGGUCUUCCGCCUCAUCCCCAGCCCAGCCUGAAAAUGUCCCUGAAAAUGUCCUAUGGGCAGUCCAGGAUUCCUCUGGCAGAGCAAAAAUCCUUCUGGCCAUCCAGGAAAUGCUACAAAAAUUCUGUGGGGCUGCUCUUGUCCAUCACCUGGUGAUCAGCAGCACAGGAAUCACAAGGAGAGCUCAUUCCUGCCUUUUCCUUCCCACUUUGGAGCAGCUCUCCCUGCCUCAACUGGGGAUUUGCUCCCAUUUAAUUACCCUAAAAAAAAUAAAGUUUGGUGUAGAUAUUGUAGAGACCUUAGCAGAAAUUGCCAACCCUUUUUAUGAGGUGCUUGGUGCAAAAUGCUCCAAGGGCUUUGGGCUAGGCUGUUGUUUUAUUGCUAGUAAAAGGAUGAGUUUUAGCCCAAGCAGACACAUUAAAUGUCAGCACAGUUGCUGUCUCCUCUUUAUUUUUAAAUGUCUUUCUCAUGUGAAUUUUGGGGGUGUUUCCCUUUUUCACCUUUUGGCUCCUCAUUUCUAUUUUCCUUUCGCCUUAAACUCCAGAUCUUUUUUAUUUCCCCCCCCUUCCAAGAUCAAUCUGUCUGUGCAUUUUUAAUGAAUCUUUUGCUGUGACAUAUGAGCACCGAAGCCACAGUGUCAGGGACUUCAGCAUCUGUGGAGAGCAGGAGGAGAUGAAAUGGAUGUGAACUUAACUUCAGUCUUUUGUUCAUGUAGGAUGGGACUUUGCCUAGAGGCAGCACAAAUAUAACUUUUCCUUCCAGGGAAUAAUGAGCAGAGUUAAAACCCAGCAAUGGCUCAUUUUUCUCUCUGGAGCACUGCUAGGAAUUGAGGAUUUCAGCUGUGCCUUUUCUUAGCAGUGAAUCAACACAAAACCCAACGUGGUGGGAAAGGAGUUUUUUGUGCAGAACUCAUUGACAACACCUAGAGAAGCAUUUCUGAAUGGAAAAUGGGAACCAUGGGAGUUCAGACAUCAGGAGUGACACCAACAGAGAGAAUCCUUGUCGUUAUCUCUUUCAUCUUGCCUUGUGGUCUAAGUCAUUCCCCCUUUGAAACUCUGCAGGAAGAGAAGACCCCAUUCAGGCCCUGUCCUUAUAUAACCAAACCAGAAAAAAAGGACCAAAAUGGCAAGAAAUUAAUCUCUCCCAGGGCUGCCCUCUUUACCAGCCAGCCUCACUUUCCUUUGGGAAGCACUGCUGGAUGACAGCCUAAAUUAUUUCAUUUUAGAAGAGGUAAAUAACUGCCUUAAAGUAUUUUUACGUCCAUGUGUAUGACUUAUGUGAAACUCAUCACAUUCCAAAAGAGCUUCAAUACAAAUUUUCAGUUCUGUUGCUGUGGACAGAUAAUAAAAUUCCUACAAAUUAUUCA